rnacentral:rRNA from 1 species
AGCGACAGAUAGGAGCUUGCUCCUUUGACGUUAGCGGCGGACGGGUGAGUAACACGUGGAUAACCUACCUAUAAGACUGGGAUAACUUCGGGAAACCGGAGCUAAUACCGGAUAACAUAUUGAACCGCAUGGUUCAAUAGUGAAAGGCGGCUUUGCUGUCACUUAUAGAUGGAUCCGCGCCGUAUUAGCUAGUUGGUAAGGUAACGGCUUACCAAGGCAACGAUACGUAGCCGACCUGAGAGGGUGAUCGGCCACACUGGAACUGAGACACGGUCCAGACUCCUACGGGAGGCAGCAGUAGGGAAUCUUCCGCAAUGGGCGAAAGCCUGACGGAGCAACGCCGCGUGAGUGAUGAAGGUCUUCGGAUCGUAAAACUCUGUUAUCAGGGAAGAACAAAUGUGUAAGUAACUGUGCACAUCUUGACGGUACCUGAUCAGAAAGCCACGGCUAACUACGUGC